GGAGACGUGGCCGAGAGGCUGAAGGCGGCGGUUUGCUAAACCGUUAUAGGGUUGUAAACCCGUAUCGAGGGUUCGAAUCCCUCCGUCUCCGCCA
rnacentral:tRNA from 1 species